rnacentral:tRNA from 1 species
UGGGAUGUAGCUCAGUGGGAGAGCACUUGACUAGCAUUCAUGAGACCUUGGGUUCAAUUUCCAGGACUCCUC